ensembl:snRNA Gm24435 U6 spliceosomal RNA
ACACUGCUCACAUCCACAGUGCAGAUACUAAACCUGGAAUGCGACAGAGAAGGUCAGCAUGGCCCCCGUGCAAGGAUGACACGGGACUUCAUGCAGCAUGCUGUGCCUCU